AUAAAAGUAAGCUAAAUGUAAGCUAUUGGGCUCAUAUCCCACUUAUAAGAGUUAAAUAAUCUCUUCUUUUUUA
rnacentral:tRNA from 1 species